AGAUGCUGCUUGACCCAUUGAGUUCCUCUUGCAGUUUGUAUCUUGAUCGAGAAUUUAACUGGAUCACCAAGGCUUUGCCAAGUGGUAUAUGUUGCAGCUUUAACUCACAGGUGGAAAGCAGUGGCUGGAUGAUGACAGAAAAUAAAAUAACUUUCGACACAGAACUAUGCUAAAUCUGAUCGAUUAGAGAUAGAGUCGUACAUCAUGGAAACAGGCCAUUCAGCCCACCAAAUUGACCAGUGGAUACCCACGCAUAUGAAUCCCACCUUCCAGCACGUGGUCCAUACCCUUGUAUACCUAU